CCAGGAUGUAAACAAAGGGGAAAUGGUUGUCAACUAGUGCUGGACUGACUGUACUUCAUAUUGGAAAACAAACAGUCUUAAUCACUAAAGUUUUUUUGGGAUCCUGGUUACCUAAAUGCUGUCAAUAAUGAUUUGCAUAUAAUACAGAACUUAACAUCCGGUCUCUGCUGGAUUAAGUUAUAAAAAUGUAACACCGCUAUUUUGCUGCUGGUUUCUGUGGGUUGCAGUUGUGGCUGAGAGACUGGAGGCUCAGGAGGCUAGAGGAAGAUGUUGACCCCAUGGGGGUUGUUCCUCUGCCAGCUGGCAAUAAUCACAUCCUACCAUGUCAUCAAAGCCAGCCUCUGCCUGGGUGGGUCGGACAUCUUUGCAACGGUGAGCGAGAACAGCCCCGUAGGAGAGUUCAUAGCGAACCUCAGCAUCAUCGGGGACCCUACAGGAGUCAAUAGCAUCCGCUUGUGCCUCACCGGAGAGAACGCCAAUUGGUUCUACCUUGAAGGGAGAACCAUCAGGCUAAACUCAUCCG
rnacentral:lncRNA from 1 species